rnacentral:rRNA from 1 species
AUUGAACGCUGGCGGCAUGCCUUACACAUGCAAGUCGAACGGUAACAGGUUAAGCUGACGAGUGGCGAACGGGUGAGUAAUAUAUCGGAACGUGCCCAGUCGUGGGGGAUAACUGCUCGAAAGAGCAGCUAAUACCGCAUACGACCCGAGGGUGAAAGCGGGGGAUCGCACGACCUCGCGCGAUUGGAGCGGCCGAUAUCAGAUUAGGUAGUUGGUGGGGUAAAGGCCCACCAAGCCAACGAUCUGUAGCUGGUCUGAGAGGACGACCAGCCACACUGGGACUGAGACACGGCCCAGACUCCUACGGGAGGCAGCAGUGGGGAAUUUUGGACAAUGGGCGCAAGCCUGAUCCAGCCAUGCCGCGUGCGGGAAGAAGGCCUUCGGGUUGUAAACCGCUUUUGUCAGGGAAGAAAAGGUUCUGGUUAAUACCUGGGACUCAUGACGGUACCUGAAGAAUAAGCACCGGCUAACUACGUGCCAGCAGCCGCCGUAA